UUGUGUAUGUUUUCUCUUUCACUGUCACUGAGUAGCCCUCAAGAUGCCUUCGCUAAGGGGAUUGCUGCCCCCUGUCCAUUUGGGGGAUAAACUGCAUUCCCUGAGAACAGUUCCUUCUUGAUCACCUGAAUGAACUGGCUGGUCCUGUCCUCCACACGCACUCGAAUGAACCCUGCUUGCUCAAUCAUCUAAUAAAAAACAGACUUGCAUAGCUAUACUAAGAAAUUAUAACUUGGUAUUUCAUGAUUUAUGUAUAUCAACCAAAUAUUAUGUGAAUAAUAUGCAGCUUCUAAUGAAAAAAAAAUGUUAUACUGCCACAUU